AUUGAACGCUGGCGGCAAGCCUAACACAUGCAAGUCGAACGAGUGGCGGACGGGUGAGUAAUGUCUGGGAAACUGCCUGAUGGAGGGGGAUAACUACUGGAAACGGUAGCUAAUACCGCAUACCAUCGGAUGUGCCCAGAUGGGAUUAGCUAGUAGGUGGGGUAAAGGCUCACCUAGGCGACGAUCCCUAGCUGGUUUGAGAGGAUGACCGGCCACAUUGGAACUGAGACACGGUCCAGACGCCUACGGGAGGCAGCAGUGGGGAAUAUUGCACAAUGGGCGCAAGCCUGAUGCAGCCAUGCCGCGUGUAUGAAGAAGGCCUUCGGGUUGUAAAGUACUGUCAGCGGGGAGGCGUUACCCGCAGAAGAAGCACCGGCUAACUCCGUGCCAGCAGCCGCGGUAAUUC
rnacentral:rRNA from 1 species